rnacentral:rRNA from 1 species
AUGGUGCCACGGCAACAUAUCGGUUCCAGUAGCUCACGGAGAUACCGGUGCAAAAGGAAGCGUGCGGAUGAGCGCAACUUGCAAGAAGGUGGGGUGAUCCCGGAUUCCGGGUUCCCACAGGACGACGGCGUGGCAAGCGAGGAGGAACUUGCGAGGACAAACGGGCACGGUGCAAACAUAGCGUACAUCUCAUACAUGCAAGGGCAUCUCAUCACGGUCGUCUCGGGUUAUACCUUCGAAGCGUGCAUUCGGGGCGGAACGAGUUCGGAGCGGUGUAGAGGAAGUAGGCGUUCACGGGACGUCGUGGAAGUAGUUGUACACGGCGUCGGCGGUAGUGGAAGUAGACGUUCACGUUUCGUAGUUGUUCAGAUCGUCGGUAGAGGUACUUGGCGAUCCGAAGGGGUACUUGGCGGGUCGUCGAGGUACACGUUGUCGGGGUACUUGUCGCAUCAGCAGGUGUAG